UCCAUGAAGUUCGAAGAGAAUCUUCAAAACAAUCAAGUGCGAUCAAUACCGAUAGAAAAUCUUCUUCGGCUUCUUCGUCAAACGAAGAAGAAAUUCCAGAAGGAGCAUCACAAAGUUCACAGAAUUCAAGUAUUGGAAUGUACGAAAAAUUGAUUCAAAAUGAGACAAGUAAAACAGACCAUUUAGCUGCAUUACUUAAAAUGCGAAAAAAAGCUUUAAUUGAUCGCAUACUAAAGGUCAAAUUGCAUGGUUGGGAGUACAGAAGGAACGAUAUAAGACAAAGGGUUUGGUUCUACAAAUAUCAGCUGUAAAGAAAAAGCAAAGAGGAAUUCUUAUGAAAAUGGAAAAAGAAAGAGAGGAAAUUAAAAAGAUUAAACAAGGAAUGCUCAAUGCACUUAUGACGAUCCGAUGACGAAAAAUCCGUUCGCAAUGCCAUUGCGCAGUUUAUUGGUGUUUUGAUUCGUCAUGAAGCUGAAAAGAAGGGAUAAUGGAUUCAAGACGUCUUACAAUUUUUUAAGCUGAUCCAAGGCAAAGUGAAUUAGGUGCUUCAUUAACCGAUAUAGCACCAGAACAGUUUGUCGCACACAUGGAAUCUAUUGUUGAAAUGUUUGCUGCUGCGAUAAAUGCUACCGAAACCAGUCUAAAUUUGGAUCUAUAAAAUGCUUAUGGGUAUCACCUAUUUGGUGCCAUUCAUUUUUAGACACAAAACUGCUGAAUUGACUUACUAGAAGUCGAUUGCUAUGGGUCUUAACACUCUUCAAGCUUUUGUCGUACUGGACUCUGAGAAGUUCAUUUAAGCUUUUGGAAUUUUGGAGAGCAUGGCCGACUACCGUACAAGGUAACGAUCCGUUGCCACGUAAGGCUGCCUUGCUAAGCAUGGCUCAUUGCUGAAGGUGGCUCUAAGGCCAUUUGCAACAAAUAUUUGGAAACUUUAUUGAAUAUUUUAAAAGUGAGCAUCAUGACUGUAACAUGAAUUCAAUUGUUCGUAAUGCUUCCAGUGGUGGAGAUGAAAAAUAUGCCGCUGAUACCACCCUUACUGGAAAGGAGAAUAACAUGCUUGUUUUUUGGAGGAAACAUCAAGUGUAGUGUACUUUCUUAUCCAGAACUCUUCCUGGUGUAAUGGCUAAGUUGAGCAUGAAGCUGAUUUUGUACAGAAAGCAGCUCGUUAUCACUAGUUUAGUUCGUAGAGACUGCAAUCUUCCAAAUAAGACAAAAUCUGAAGCAUUUCUUCACGGAUUCUCAGCCCAACAACAAUGUGAUUCUGUUCGAAAAUUAUUUUGGACAAAGAACCAGGUCAAGGAUGUGCUGUUUUGGGUAAAUUUGACUUGUGUUUCUUUAUAAAAAUAAAAAUUAAAACUAAAAAUUGUAUAAAUAA